CAGUCGCCACGGUAAUACAGAGGGUGCGAGCGUUAAUCGGAUUUACUGGGCGUAAAGCGUGCGUAGGCGGCUUCUUAAGUCGGAUGUGAAAUCCCUGAGCUUAACUUAGGAAUUGCAUUCGAUACUGGGAAGCUAGAGUAUGGGAGAGGAUGGUAGAAUUCCAGGUGUAGCGGUGAAAUGCGUAGAGAUCUGGAGGAAUACCGAUGGCGAAGGCAGCCAUCUGGCCUAAUACUGACGCUGAGGUACGAAAGCAUGGGGAGCAAACAGGAUUAGAUACCCGCGUAGUCCCUGUCUCUUAUAA
rnacentral:rRNA from 1 species